UGCGAGCGUGGGGCGAGCGUGGACCGCGGCGCGGCGGUGCGAUUCUUUUCCCGGCCCUUCUCCCCGCCCCAGGCGAGGGCACCGUGUGGCGGCGGCGGGGCCAGCGAGGCCGGAGGAGGCGGCUGUGCCCGGGCAUGGUGGCCUGGGGCAACGCGGAAGAAUCCUGUUUUGGUGGUGCAGCUCUUGGGAUCAGUGCUCUGAGCACCCAGCAGAAGAGGCUCUGAAUGCUUCGGGCUCAGUUAGUCAAGCACCGUGAGCUGCAACAGGGAACAUACAGACAGGAGGCCAGGCUGUGGUCUCCUCGGAAGCUUUGGUGGGAUGCAGGCAGCAUCUGGGAGAAGACGCCUCGGAACUCACGUGCCCGCGUUGCCCAGGACCCCAAUUCCUUCCACCUCUCGGAUGCUGCUUUCUUUUCCCAGGGACAGAGCCAAGCUGUAAUUGACUCCUUGGGUAUUUCAAAGUCCCUGAUCCCAAGACUGAAGGAUGACUGCCUGCUGUUGUGAAAGGUGCGCUGAAUCGACAGUCCUGAGUUUUGAAGUUUUCCUGGAGGGGACGUGAGGGGAUUUCUCCAGGAUCGAUGGAACUCCUUUUGUGAUAAAGCCUAGUCAUCAAUCAACAGGUGAGGAAGUAGAGCCAGGCAUUGGUUGAGUGUUGAUGUUUCUGGUACAAGCUGACUCUCCGCUCAUCAUCCCACACCUUCAUCAGCCAUCAUCAUGCUGUCUGUCACCUCCUCUUCUCUGAAGAAGGCCCGGGCCAUCUUUUGAAAAUACAAAGUCCAGCAUUGAGACCCUCCCAACUGAGAGAGCAGGAAGGGCCAGGGCUGCUGAGGUGCUCCCUGAACCCCACUCAGGGGAUCUGUGUUGUUCCCACCUGGGUGUAUUGUGUGGACCCCUAAAAUUCCUCCAAACCUCUGCCUCUGCGCUUCCAGAUUGCCCCUGAAAGAAAUGAACAAUAAUCAUAAUACCCACCACGUACUGACCGCUGGUCUCUUGAGGGCUGCCUUGCCAUUGGACAACAUUUGUUGAGCUCCUACUGUUUGCCAGACAGCGGGUACAUGCUUUAUGUGUGUUUAGCCCUUCUGACAACACUGUGAUUUAGGACCUGUUAAUAUGUCUAUUUUGCUGAAAUGGAAACUGAGGUUCAGAGUGGUUAAAUAACAAGGAAAAGUCCAUGUUUUUACCCCCUACACUAAUAUAUAUGUAUAUUUGUGUAUAUAUAUUCUAUAUAUGUAUAUUUAACAUAUAUAUGAUGUUGACUGAAAAAAAUGCACAACCUCAAAGUUGAGAAAUAUGUUUUAUUGGGUGGGCAAAACUGAGGACUUAAGCCUGGGACACAGCCUCUCAGCUCUCUCUGAGGGACUGAUCCAAAAAGGAGAGGGAGGAACCAUCAACUAUAGGAGUUUUUGCAACAAAGACCAGGUCAUCGGAACAUCGAAAGAUUCCUGUUAAUUAAAGAAAACCAGACAUCUCGAGUUAA